ACGGGUGAGUAACGCGUGAGAAUCUAGCUUCAGGUCGGGGACAACCACUGGAAUCGGUGGCUAAUACCGGAUGUGCCGAAAGGUGAAAGAUUUAUUGCCUGAAGAUGAGCUAGCGUCUGAUUAGCUAGUUGGUGUGGUAAGAGCGCACCAAGGCGACGAUCAGUAGCUGGUCUGAGAGGAUGAUGAGCCACACUGGGACUGAGACACGGCCCAGACUCCUACGGGAGGCAGCAGUGGGGAAUUUUCCGCAAUGGCCGAAAGCCUGACGGAGCAAUACCGCGUGAGGGAGGAAGGCUCUUGGGUUGUAAACCUCUUUUCUCAGGGAAUAAAAAAAUGAAGGUACCUGAGGAAUAAGCAUCGGCUAACUCCGUGCCAGCAGCCGCGGUAAUACGGAGGAAGCAAGCGUUAUCCGGAAUGAUUGGGCGUAAAGCGUCCGCAGGUGGCACUGUAAGUCUGCUGUUAAAGAGCAAGGCUCAACCUUGUAAAGGCAGUGGAAACUACAGAGCUAGAGUACGUUCGGGGCAGAGGGAAUUCCUGGUGUAGCGGUGAAAUGCGUAGAGAUCAGGAAGAACACCGGUGGCGAAAGCGCUCUGCUAGGCCGUAACUGACACUGAGGGACGAAAGCUAGGGGAGCGAAUGGGAUUAGAUACCCCAGUAGUC
rnacentral:rRNA from 7 species